rnacentral:rRNA from 1 species
GUCUGCUUGAUAUAAAAAGCAGUCUGGCCUGCCCACUGAUAUUUUUUAAAGGCCGCGGUACUCUGACCGUGCGAAGGUAGCAUAAUAAUUAGUCUUUUAAUUGAAGACUGGAAUGAAUGGUCGGACAAAAAGUAAGCUGUCUCAGUUUUAAAAAUUGAAAUUAACUUUUAAGUGAAAAGGCUUAAAUAUUCUAAAAGGACGAUAAGACCCUAUAAAACUUUAUAUUUGAAGUAGUAGAUUAUUAUUUAUAUAUUUAAGAUCGUCUAUUACUUUAUGUAUUACGUUGGGGAGACGGAAGUAAAACAAGUAACUGCUUUUCUAUUCCAAACAACUAUGUUUGAUUUUUAUGACCCUUAAAAAGAUCCAAAGAUAAAGUUACUUUAGGGAUAACAGCGUUAUUUUUUUUGAGAGUUCUUAUCGACAAAAAAGUUUGCGACCUCGAUGUUGAAUUAAAACAACCUUAUAGUGCAGCAAUUAUAAAGGUAGGUCUGUUCGACCUUUAAAAUUUUACAUGAUUUGAGUUCAAACCGGCGUGAG